rnacentral:rRNA from 1 species
GGGUGCGAUCAUACCAGCGUUAAUGCACCAGAUCCCAUCAAAACUCUACAGUUAAGUGCGCUUGGGCUAAAGUAGUAUUGGGAUGGGUGACCUCCUUGGAAGUCCUAGUGUUGCACCCU